rnacentral:misc_RNA from 1 species
UUCUCUUUGCGGGCUUCUGAAAAAAUGAGGCCGGCUCCCCUGAAAUGCAUUAGUGGUAUCUGAGCAGAGACUACUUACAGGUGUGAUAAAUUAUCUAUCUAUGCCUCGGUAUGCUGCAUGAAACAGAUUGCACCGCUUAUAACCAGUGGAAAUUUGACAAGUUUGACCUCAAAUCAGGUAGGACUACCCGCUGAACUUAA